rnacentral:lncRNA from 1 species
UUUAAUCUCUAUGCAAUGUGAUAAUGAGUAGAAGACACCACAGAAGUGUGCAGCCCAUUGCACACAAACCCUUUCCUUGGCUACCGAAGAUGAUGCUGCAGAUCUUGGUCCUGCCAGCACGAUGCUGAUCUACUUGAGCACAACCAUAUAGUUAAACCAGAUUAUACUCAGUUUAUAAAUUCUUCCAAUGGCAUGGCAAACAUGGCAAAAAAAAUCUUGUAAUUUGUGCUUCAGUGUGCAAUUCAUGUGAGAACAAUGUGAAGAAAGGCUACAGAAUAAGUCUGCAAAAUGCUCUCAAUUGAACAGAAAGAAACUGUUUCCAUGGCUUCGAUGAGCUGUUUGCAAAAAUCCUCCAAACAAGAGAAGUUGAAGCUGGUGAGAUACAAAGUGGAGAAGAUAUUCAAGGUAAAGAUGAAAAAUUAAGUUGAAGACAUCACUGAGGAAUUAUUUCCUGCUGAUAUAAAGAGCCAAAAAGGGAGAACAUUUGCUUUCAUACUUACCUGAUUGGAGAAAGAAUGGGGGGGAAGAGCAUUUACAAACGUAAACCUGGCAGCAUUUGCUAAGCCACCCACUCCACUUACAAAGUCCACCCCAUUUAGAAGGAGUAGGUUUGGAGCCACCGUCUUUCUAAGCUCCACCCAACAUUUGAUGUGAAAUCCUGCUUGAUCUGAGAAGUAAUGUCUGCUGCAGGUGGAAAUUACGUAAUGUUUCCUAGAAACCAAAGGCUUGAGCUCAGUGGUGACAGAGGAGGCAGAGAAUAAGAAAUAUUAGCAAUCGUCUUGCUAAAUGUUAGUGUUUUCUCAGUUGCUGUUAGUUUGGGGAGUCACAGUAUAAAAAGGAUAUAAAACUACCAAGGAGCGUCCAAAGAAGGGUUACAAAGGGUGUGGAGGGCAAGACUUACCAGGAGCAGCUGGGGCCCCUGGGUUUGCUCAGCCCAGAGCAGAGGAGCUGAGGGGAGGCCUCAUGGCGGCUGCAGCUCCUCACAGGGAGCGGAGGGGCAGCGCUGAGCUCUGCUCUCUUGUGACAGCGACAGGGCCCGAGGGAACGGCAUGGAGCUGUGUCAGGGGAGGGGCAGGUGGUGGUUAGAAAAAGGUUCUUCACCAGAGGGCGGUGGGCAUGAAACAGGCUGCCCAAGUUAGUGGGCACAGCACGAGGCUGCUGGAGUUCAAGGUAUGUUUGGACAACACUCUGUAAUAUGGUCUGAUUUUUGGGUGGUCCUCUGUGGAUCCAGGAGUAGUACUCAAUCCUUGAGGGUCCCUUCCAACUCAGGAUAUUCUGUGAUGCUAUGAUUCACAUUAAAUGUCAUCUGAUGUCUCUGUCCAAGUAAUGUAGUGGAGGGAUAUAAGCAUAAAAAUCUGAAGCUCCACUGCAGGAAGCCACGUACUUAAGUCUUUUUGAACAAUUUCCUUAGAAUUGUGAAAAA